rnacentral:rRNA from 1 species
AUGGAGGGGGAGCCACCCGCGCAGGGCCCGCCCCCCAGCGCCGCCUCCGCCUCCGGCUCCAGCGACAGCGGGGAGAAGGGCGCCCCGUGCCAGGAGUGCGGGGAGCAGCCGUGGAAGUACCGGUGCCCGGGCUGCUCCCGCCUCACCUGCAGCCUCCCCUUCGUGCAGGACCACAAGCGCCGCACCACCUCCUCUGGCAGGCGCCCCCGCACCGUCCCCGUCCCGCUCGCCCGAUUACAACUUGGUGGAGGAGACGAUCAUGGUCAGGGAGUCGGCCCACAGGCUGCUCGGCGGCUUCGGCCGCAACUUCGGCUACGGCUUCGAGGGACGCCAUGGCGCCCAACUGCUGCCAUGGCUCACCUUCCUCCGCAAGGCCGCGGAGCACCGGGGUGUCCGGCUCGCCGUCCAACCUGA